rnacentral:pre_miRNA from 14 species
UUUCAAUGCCCCAAAGCAUCGAACCUGUGUGUGAUGGCACUACGAACAUGUACGGCGUCACACACAGGUUCGAUGCUUUGGGGCAUUGAAAA